rnacentral:rRNA from 1 species
UACGUAGGGUGCAAGCGUUAAUCGGAAUUACUGGGCGUAAAGCGUGCGCAGGCGGUUUUGUAAGUCUGUCGUGAAAUCCCCGGGCUCAACCUGGGAAUUGCGAUGGAGACUGCAAGGCUAGAAUCUGGCAGAGGGGGGUAAGAAUUCCACGUGUGAGCAGUGAAAAUGCGUAGAGAUGUGGAGGAAUACCGAUGGCGAAGGCAGCCCCUGGGAUAACACUGACGCUCCAU